rnacentral:rRNA from 1 species
AGCGAACGUUUGCGGCGGGCCUAACACAUGCAAGUCGAACGGGCUAGCAAUAGUCAGUGGCGCACGGGUGCGUAACACGUGGGUAAUCAACCCUUCAGCUCGGGAUAACGCCUUGAAAGGGGCGCUAAUACCGGAUACGACGCGAGGAGCUUCGGCUGCUUGCGGGAAAGAUUCGCAAGGAUCUCUGAAGGACGAGCCUGCGGCCCAUCAGCUAGUUGGUGAGGUAAGAGCUCACCAAGGCGAAGACGGGUAGCUGGUCUGAGAGGAUGAUCAGCCACACUGGAACUGAGACACGGUCCAGACUCCUACGGGAGGCAGCAGUGGGGAAUAUUGCGCAAUGGGCGAAAGCCUGACGCAGCCACGCCGCGUGAGCGAUGAAGGCCUUCGGUCGUAAGACUCUGUGGGAGGAGAAGAAUAAAGACCUAGUGAAGAAUAGGGACCGUUGACGGUAGUCUCCUUACGUC